UACAGAGGUCUCAAGCGUUGUUCGGAUUCAUUGGGCGUAAAGGGCGCGUAGGCGGCCACCGCAGGUCGAUUGUGAAAUCUCCGGGCUUAACUCGGAAAGGUCAACCGAUACUGCGGGGCUAGAGUGCAGAAGGGGCAACUGGAAUUCUCGGUGUAGCGGUGAAAUGCGUAGAUAUCGAGAGGAACACCUGCGGCGAAGGCGGGUUGCUGGGCUGACACUGACGCUGAUGUGCGAAAGCUAGGGGAGCGAACGGG
rnacentral:rRNA from 1 species